ensembl:lncRNA ADGRB3-DT ADGRB3 divergent transcript
AUUUUCUGCGUCUGGGAGGUUUUUGCAUCCUCAGUUCCCACCGCUGGGGCUGGCGGCGACCAACUCGCAGACCUGUCGCAGCCAGAGAGCUGUCAUUUCAGUACCGGGAUUCAGAAUUGAUCCAGUCCGCAGCGGAGGGGGCACAUCCCAGCUACCGAGCUGCUGAGUGUCUCUGGCUGGAACAAUAGUAUUUUUUUCUCUGCGAGGCUGCAAUUAACAUCUUAUUUGUUCUGGCUCCAUACAGGCUUUGUCAGGAUCGCGGUGCGGCGACCGACGUUGGGCUCUUGCAUUGCUUUGUGCUUGGCAAUGGAAUCAUGGUUUCGGGAUAGUCAUUUUGCCUCCUGGACAGUUGGCUGACGAAGUGUCUGAUAAACCAGCUUCAGAUACAUGCUACAAAAGAAGUCCCACUUUAUCAUUAAUGAUGACAAUAACUAAGGCUGCCAGGAACAGCACAUCUGCUGAGCUUUAUCAACACCAGAUUCUCUCAUUUUGCCUUCUGGAUCUCCAUGCUUUUUUAUACCAACAAACAAGAGGAAGAAUAUUCUCUACCCACUUCCUUGACUGAAGCCUGCUCUUUUAUGAAGACAUGGCAUCUCUUCCAACCGUGUCAAACAGAUGCAAUUUAUAUGUCUGCUGCUUCCAUACCCUGAUUAAAUGGGUCAGUGGCAGAAUCAG